CUCCAUGUGUCUUUGGGACCUGCCGCCCGUGGCAGCCUCCCUUCCUAGCCAUGGAAGAGCAACCCUUGUUGAUUGGCAAAGCUGGCACCGCGCCGUUGGUGCCAGGUUCUGACUUGCACGAGGGACAGGC